UUUUACGCGUGUAAGAAAUAGAAAAUAGGAAUCUUGGAAAUUGUGUGCUGACAGGUUGCACCACAGCGAAUGUGCAGGGACAAGGCUAAUCAAACAGGCAAUCGUUGUUCUUAUAGCAUUUUUUCACUCUGUUGUUGCUCUAGUAGUUGUGACGGCCCAUAUUUGGAUGGACUUAUUUGUGUGCACAGAGCUGUAGCUUAUCUGCAUGCAAGGGAAUAAACGGGAAUAAAGCGAAAGCUUUUGACGAGAGAGCGAGCUUUGGGUUAUCUAGCCCUUGUGCUUUAGGAUGAAGAAACAAAAUCAAAGCUCAAGCGCUGGAUCAUUCGAUCCAUGGAACUAAAUUGUGGAAGGUCAGUUUGGUGGUACGGCGAGAUAAAAGAAAAGAAAAGAAUAAAAGGUUAUACACGUGUCUGAAAAAAAAAGAAAAAUUGAAAUCAAUAAAUCGUCGAAAGUAGGGUGCACAUGCCAAGCUGCCCCAAAAAAAAUUAAGAUCAGUGUGCCGAAAAGCCGAAAAAUCUGUGGUUCUCCAAAGAUAAACCCGGUUUCAAGCCCCAAACGGGGUCUGAGCUUUGCCAGUCGAUCUCGGUUUCUCCAGUUUAAUUUAGUAUUGACGAAAGUUAUCCAACGGAGGUCAAACUUCUGCCGCACAACGAAAAUUUGCGAUCAACCUUAUUUUUGACCUUGGCAGAGGACAUACAGUUGCCUCUGAAAUUCUAUGUCGUGGCCUGGAUAGGCACAGACAUAUCCAUAUCGGAUGUCUUCAAGGAAAAGGAUUGACACACACACACACACACACUGAAUUCAACCGACACAUCAAUGCAUGCAGGCCUGUUGCAGCGAUGGAAAACCAAACGUAAGCUACCACUAAAAGUAAGAAAAACACCGCUUUGCUUAUAAUUUGAUUUGUUCUUCUAAACUUUUCUCCUCUUUAUAUAUAUAAAAAAACCCCUAAAAUUAAGUUGCUGUAACUGUAGAUAAAUAAGAUGUUAUGAAGAUUUGAGGUGAUGCUGAGGAUGGUUGUUAGUUGGAGUGGAGUUAAAAUAUGAAAAUACACUGAAGAUUGAUCAACAUGAAA